AAUGAACGCUGGCGGUAGGCUUAACACAUGCAAGUCGGACGGAAACGAUGAAGUGCUUGCACUUCAGGCGUCGAGUGGCGGACGGGUGAGUAACGCGUGGGAAUCUACCCUAUAGUUGGGGACAACAUAUGGAAACGUAUGCUAAUACCGAAUGUGCUCUAAGGAGUAAAGGAGCCCUCUUCUUGAAAGGUUUCGUCUAUAGGAUGAGCCCGCCGUGAGAUUAGCUAGUUGGUAAGGUAAUGGCGUUACUAAAGGACAACGAAUCUCUAGCUGGUUUGUAGAGGAGUGAUCAGCCACACUGGGACGUGAGGACACGGCCCACGACUCCUACGGGAGGCAGCAGUGGGGAAGUAUUGCACAAUGAGCGAAAGCUUGAUGCAGCCAUACCGCGUGUGUG
rnacentral:rRNA from 1 species